AUUGAACGCUGGCGGCAUGCCUUACACAUGCAAGUCGAACGGCAGCGGGGGAGAAGCUUGCUUUUCCUGCCGGCGAGUGGCGAACGGGUGAGUAAUACAUCGGAACGUGCCCUGUAGUGGGGGAUAACUAGUCGAAAGAUUAGCUAAUACCGCAUACGACCUGAGGGGGAAAGUGGGGGACCGCAAGGCCUCAUGCUAUAGGAGCGGCCGAUGUCUGAUUAGCUAGUUGGGGGGGUAAAGGCCUACCAAGGCGACGAUCAGUAGCUGGUCUGAGAGGACGAUCAGCCACACUGGGACUGAGACACGGCCCAGACUCCUACGGGAGGCAGCAGUGGGGAAUUUUGGACAAUGGGCGAAAGCCUGAUCCAGCAAUGCCGCGUGUGUGAAGAAGGCCUUCGGGUUGUAAAGCACUUUUGUCCGGAAAGAAAUGGCUCUGGUUAAUACCUGGGGUCGAUGACGGUACCGGAAGAAUAAGGACCGGCUAACUACGUGCCAGCCGCCGCAGUAA
rnacentral:rRNA from 1 species